UACAGAGGUCCCAAGCGUUGUUCGGAUUCACUGGGCGUAAAGGGUGCGUAGGUGGCGGGGUAAGUUUGAUGUGAAAUCUCCGGGCUUAACCCGGAAACUGCAUUGAAUACUAUCCCGCUUGAGGGUUGGAGGGGGGACUGGAAUACUUGGUGUAGCAGUGAAAUGCGUAGAUAUCAAGAGGAACACCAGUGGCGAAGGCGAGUCCCUGGACAACUUCUGACGCUGAGGCACGAAAGCUAGGGGAGCAAACAGG
rnacentral:rRNA from 1 species